UACGUAGGGGGCAAGCGUUGUCCGGAUUUAUUGGGCGUAAAGAGCGUGUAGGCGGCCAGACAGGUCUGCUGUGAAAACUCGAGGCUCAACCUCGAAGACGCCGGUGGAAACCGUCUGGCUAGAGUCCGGAAGAGGAGAGUGGAAUUCCUGGUGUAGCGGUGAAAUGCGUAGAUAUCUGGAGGAAUACCGGUGGCGAAGGCGGCAUCCUGGACCGGCAUUGACGCUGAGGAGCGAAAGCUAGGGGAGCGAGAGGA
rnacentral:rRNA from 1 species